ACCUGAUUAUGUGGGCAUUUAUGGAGUAGGUCCCUGAAGCGCUCCUAGGUCUCAAAGAAAAGUUCCCCAUUUGUUUUUGUGAAAUUUGUGAUUUCCCUCCACAGUU